GAACUUAGAGCAUCCACAACGCAUGGAGCGAAGGGAGCGUCGAUCCGGUGUGAAGAAACGUCCGCCGCGCUGGAGAACCGGCCAAGUGCGAGGCCGAGGCGAAGCCUAGACACGGGUUGAAGAGGAGGCGUGUGUGGCGCGUCCUGCGGACGCGCCGUUUUUUUUUUUUUUUUAAAUUCUAAAUUCGUGAAUUUUGGCGAAGGAAACCUCUGGAGUGAUUUUUUGCUGGAAAAGAGACGCGGAUGGGGGGAAGAGGGAAGGAAUGGAGUCGGUGUUUUUGCUGGAAAAGAGACGCAGAUAGGGGGGGAAGGAAUGGAGUCAGUGGGAAAGAAAGAAGAAAAGGGGAGUCGGUGGGUGGGGAAUUUUUGUUUUUUUUUCUUUUAAAAUCUUAAUUAUUUAAAUUAUGUAAUUUUUUUAUUAUUUAAAUUAUGUAAUUUUUAUUUUUAUUGAAAUGUUUAAUUUAAAUUUUAAUGAAAUUUGAAUUAAAAAUACAUUUGGUCUCGUUUUGGUCCGAUUGAGUCCUAGAAAAUUAGUGUAAUUUUUAUUUUUUUUAUUGUAUUUAAAUUAUGUCUUUAAAUUAUU
rnacentral:lncRNA from 1 species